CAGAUGGGAACAUCCCAAAAGUCUGCAGAAGCUCAGCCUCUGAGGUGAACGUUGUGGCCCUAACCUCUCUCUGCUCUGUACCUCACAGGAUUCCAGCCGGCUGUUCCAAUGCAGGAGGAAAACUGUGCCACCGAAGUCUCCCAGCACCUGUGCAGUGAAGUGCCACUUACCCCCGCUGUGAUUCACAGACCUUGCCCUGGCUGUCUGCACAGGGCUGAAUUUCACCCCUUCAGAGUGUAUUCUAAGGGCCCCCUGUGCGUCAUAUGGGCGUUCUUGGGGGCGCAGAUUGCUUCAGACCUGCACCUGAAUAAAUAAUAGGGACUGAAAUAUGCAGACACUAAAGUUCUGCAGCCAAAUUCUCAGGAACCUUUCUCUUCAAUGUAGGAUCAGGAUUUUGUUUUGAAUUGUUUUUUUUUAAAGUGCUAAGCAGAUGCUACACUGUAAGAAGAGGAAACAGAAGCAAAAACUGAAAGACUGUGACUAAAACCAAUGAACAGCUGCAGAGAAUGGAGACCGGCAAAGCAGACAAAUGAAUACUGGAAAGGAUCCCCAAAGGAGGUGUAAGGAUCUGGGACUCUAGUGUCUGCCAGAAGCUUCAGCCACCUUCACAGGUUAAAGCUCACCGUCCAUUGCGGAGGUGAAGACCGGAUGGGAGCUGCUGGA